rnacentral:misc_RNA from 1 species
GAUGAAGAACGUAGCGAAAUGCGAUAAGUAAUGUGAAUUGCAGAAUUCAGUGAAUCAUCGAAUCUUUGAACGCACCUUGCGCCCUUUGGCUAUUCUGAAGGGCAUGCCUGUUUGAGUAUCAUGAACACCUCAACUCUCACGGUUCGCCGUGAUGAGCUUGGACUUUGGGGGUAUUGCAGGCCCACCGCCGGCUCCUCUCAAAUGAAUCAGCUUGCCAGUGUCUGGUGGCAUCACAGGUGUGAUAACUAUCUACGCUUGUGGUUUUCCGCCAGGUAACCUCCAGCGAUGGAGGUUCGCUGGAGCUCACAAACGUCUCUCCUCAGCGAAGACAGCUCUUGAACGUUUGAUCUCAAAUCAGGUAGGACUACCCGCUGAACUUAAGCAUAUCAAUAAGCGGAGGA